rfam:Stereum hirsutum FP-91666 SS1 unplaced genomic scaffold STEHIscaffold_3, whole genome shotgun sequence.
GGCCCAAUGGUCUAGUGGUAAGAUACUUGCUUUGGGUGUACACCGGGUUCGAACCGGAUAAUUUAAAUGCAAGGGAUCCCCAGUUCGAACCUGGGUUGGGCCC